UGAAUACGAGAUGCUACGGCGUCGAAGCAGUCUAUGUCAUACUUCCAAGAAAAGCUCGCACUGUCAUAAACAAAUAAUGCCUGUACCAUAACCGACACAGGUGGGUAGGUAGAGUAUACUAAGGGGCGCGAGAUAACUCUCUCUAAGGAACUCGGCAAAAUGACUCCGUAACUUCGGGAGAAGGAGUGCCUUAUUUAUAAGGUUGCAAUGACAAGAUCCAAGCAACUGUUUAUCAAAAACACAGGUCUCCGCUAAGUCGUAAGACGAUGUAUGGGGGCUGACGCCUGCCCAGUGCCAGAAGGUUAAAGAAGUUGGUUAGCAUUUGCGAAGCUGAUAACUGAAGCCCUGGUGAACGGCGGCCGUAACAAUAACGGUCCUAAGGUAGCGAAAUUCCUUGUCGGGUAAGUUCCGACCCGCACGAAAGGCGUAAUGAUUUGGAUACUGUCUCGGAGAGGGGCUCGGUGAAAUAGACUUGUCUGUGAAGAUGCGGACUACCUGCACCAGGACAGAAAGACCCUAUGAAGCUUUACUGUAACUUGAGAUUGAAAUUGGACUUUACUUGCGCAGUAUAGGGGGGAGGCGUUGAUAAUAUUCUUGCGGGAUUAUUUGAGCCAUCAGUGAGAUACCACUCUUGUAAUGUUAGAUUUCUAACUUUGUACCAUUAUCUGGUCAAAGGACAGUUUCAGGCGGGCAGUUUGACUGGGGCGGUCGCCUCCUAAACGGUAACGGAGGCGCACAAAGGUUUCCUCUGAACGGGUAGAAAUCGUAUCUAGAGUGAAAGGCAUAAGGAAGCUUGACUGUGAGACCUACAAGUCGAGCGGGGACGAAAGUCGGUCUUAGUGAUCUGACGGUGCUGAGUGGAAAGGCCGUCACUCAACGGAUAAAAGUUACUCUAGGAUAACAGGCUGAUCUCCCCCAAGAGUUCACAUCGACGGGGAGGUUUGGCACCUCGAUGUCGGCUCAUCGCAUCCUGGGGCGGUAGUACGUCCCAAGGGUUGGGCUGUUCGCCCAUGAAAGCGGUACGCGAGCUGGGUUCAGAACGUCGUGAGACAGUUCGGUCCAUAUCCGGUGUAGGCGUUAGGAUAUUGAGAGGAGCCUUCUUUAGUACGAGAGGACCGAGAAGGACAUACCUCUGGUGUACCAGUUAUCGUGCCAACGGUAAACGCUGGGUAGCUAUGUAUGGAGUGGAUAACCGCUGAAAGCAUCUAAGUGGGAAGCCCACCUCAAGAUAAG
rnacentral:rRNA from 1 species